CACCUAGCGGCGAACGGGUGAGUAACACGUGGGCAACCUGCCCUCAGCUCUGGGAUAACCCCGGAAACGGGAGCUAAUACCGGAUAUGACCUCUUUGGACAUCCUUAGAGGUGGAAAGAAUUUCGGCUGAGGAUGGGCCCGCGGCCUAUCAGCUUGUUGGUGGGGUAAUGGCCUACCAAGGCGACGACGGGUAGCCGGCCUGAGAGGGCGACCGGCCACACUGGGACUGAGACACGGCCCAG
rnacentral:rRNA from 1 species